rnacentral:Y_RNA from 1 species
GGCUGGUCGAGUGCAGUGGUAUUUACGACUAAUUGAUCACAACAAGAUACAGAUUUCUUUGUUCUUUCUCCACUCCGGCUGCUUCAAUUGACUAGCCUAAA